UGGCUUUCAUGUGUCCCCUCUCAAGUGGGAACAUGACACCUGUAGCUGGCUGCUGCUCUUCCUCAGAGCCUAUGGCUGCUUCUUCCAGCAUCUUGAGGUUACCCCUAAGAGCUUCCACUCAGAAGUUUACCAAGGCAGCAGCUUUUUGGCAGGAGUCUCUGCGUCUGUUUGCAACAGGGCAUGGCAAGGGAAGGCAGACGUCUCCUCGUAAAGCAUCCUCUUCCUGAAACCCCUUCAACCCUUCCUGACUGAGAGGAAAUGCAAGGAUUGGUAAUGACUCAAGUGCUCCUCCGGGAAACAGCAGUGAUUUUAGAGGAACAUGAAAUAACUUUUAAGCCAAGCCUA